rnacentral:rRNA from 1 species
UACGUAGGCAGCAAGCGUUGUUCGGAGUCACUGGGCGUAAAGGGUGUGUAGGCGGUCGUUUAAGUUUGGUGUGAAAUCUUCCGGCUCAACUGGGAGGGUGCGCCGAAUACUGAAUGACUUGGAGUGCGGGAGAGGAAAGUGGAAUUCCUGGUGUAGCGGUGAAAUGCGUAGAUAUCAGGAGGAACACCAGCGGCGAAGGCGGCGCUCUGGGCCGGUACUGACGCUGAGGAGCGAAAGCGUGGGGAGCAAACCGG